rnacentral:rRNA from 1 species
GACGUGGGGCGCAAGCGUUGUCCGGAUUUAUUGGGCGUAAAGAGCUCGUAGGCGGCCUGUCGCGUCGACCGUGAAAACCCGCAGCUCAACUGCGGGCUUGCGGUCGAUACGGGCAGGCUGGAGUUCGGUAGGGGAGACUGGAAUUCCUGGUGUAGCGGUGAAAUGCGCAGAUAUCAGGAGGAACACCGGUGGCGAAGGCGGGUCUCUGGGCCGAUACUGACGCUGAGGAGCGAAAGCGUGGGGAGCGAACAGG